rnacentral:rRNA from 1 species
UACGGAAGGGGCAAGCGUUGUUCGGAGUCAUUGGGCGUAAAGGGCGCGUAGGUGGUUCUGUAUGUCUACCGUGAAAGCAUACAGCUCAACUGUAUUUUGUCGGUAGAAACUGCAGGACUUGAGGCUGGGAGGGGCUGGUGGAAUUCCCUGUGUAGCGGUGAAAUGCGUAGAGAUGGGGGAGAACACUCGUGGCGAAGGCGGCCAGCUAGACCAGUUCUGACACUGAGGCGCGACAGCGUGGGGAGCAAACAGG